rnacentral:lncRNA from 1 species
UGCAGUUUUUGUUGGUCAAUAUUAUGAAAAUUUGUCUUGUAGAAGUAGAAGUGGUGAAACAGAACUUUGGGAAGCCAUGGUUUUUGCACAAAAUGUAUAGGCAAAAUAAACCUACAAAUCCUCGUGGUGUACAAAUUUAUUCUAUUCUCUCACUUGGAUGUAGUACAUUUCCACCUUUGCAGCUAAAGUUACUGACUAUAUUUUGCAUUCUUGGUCUUCACUAUAGCACUGCAAUUUACCUUUGGUCUUGAAAUCAACCUCUCUGUCACCUUCUUUCCCCCACAGUAACAAGUAUAGUCCCAUGAUGACAAUAAGUGCACCGAUCAUGCUGAAAAUUUUAUGAAAACACCAAUUUCAGACUUAUAACUAAUUAUACUAAAAAAAAUAUUCAUGGUAAAACUAGAUCUGUAUCCCCAAUUUUCUUAUUAUACUAUGAAAAGAACUAUGAGUCAUUGCAUGUUACCUGCCCAAAUAAAGUUUUUCACCAAGGACAGAAUAUGCCAGAAUUGCCACAAAUAUGGUACUAAGAGGGUUAAACAUUGUGACAAAAACUGGUCCUUUUUUCUCGGUGCACCAUAGUUGAGUGUACGUCAACAAACCACUCACA